UUGAAGAGAAAAUUUUGAUACUGGGUAGCAAACGAGUUUUAUUUAGGUCUGUUUUGCCACAAAAAAAAAAUUAGUGAGCAGACUAAAAUGUUAUGGAAAUUCUUCUUCUUUUUAACAUAUUUAAAUAUGCAUACAUGAAGUGUAUCUAAAAAUUCCCAUAAGAAUAAAAUGUGAAUUCAUAUAAGAAGGUUUAUGAUUGGGCUAUAAGUCCUAUUCCAUUGCAUCCCAUCUCCUCUUUGCUAGAAGGUUCUUUGAUGGAGCCCACCUCCCACAUGGUCAUAUAGUGACCUUGCCGGACUUCCCUUUCAAAUCCAUAGUUUUCCUCAAUCAGAAAUGAGUCACUAUCAGAUUGGAGUUAAAGUUUGAUAAGAUUUCUCUUGGGUCCUUUAUGCCUCAUUAACUUAACACUUCCUCAAACAUGUUCACACUAAGCAUAUAAGAAUUUAACUUUUCACUUUAAACAUCUUCUUGAAUCAAAAUCAAGGUUUGAGAUUGCAUUGCUGGUUUUUCCAGAUAUCAAGAUGGCCUUAAAGUUGUUCUAUAAAAAAAGAAUAGUGAAUCUUGAGUGAAAAAAAUAAACUUGUAAUGGUACAUAAAUAAAUAGGACCACAACUAUUUUAGAAUUAUUGUUGUAAUUUUAGUGUAAUGGAUAGAAAUAAAAGUGGAAAGAAACAAUAGAGUACUAUGUACCUGGAAAUGAAUGGACAAGUAAUAGAUGAUGAUAUGUUAUUUUCUAUAGACAUGUGUAAUGAUAGAUAGGUGCAUGGAGUUAACAGAGUUUAUGAUGAUGAUGAUAUGAAAUGUGGUGACAGUGGGAGUGGCAGUGCAUUGGGAAACAGCUCCCGCGCUGUUCCCGCGCGACCUUCUGAAUUUAUAUACUUUUAGGGGGCCCGGCCCUCUACUCAGAAAUAUGGAGUAAUUGGUUUU
rnacentral:lncRNA from 1 species